UUAAGAGUCUAAAUAUUAUUUUUCAGGUAAGGACACACAGUGUUUCUGAGCAAAAGCAUUGCAUUAUGAAGCCUGACUUUGGGGGGUUUUUAAAGGAAUACUAACCACGUGGAAGUGUGGUAGAGAGAAAGGCCAGAAGCAGAGACACCUGUUUGGAGUCCAGGACAACAGUGAAAGCAGGUGGAAAGGAAACACCAGACAAGACCUCCACUCUUACUACAGGGACUUGGAGAAUACUAAAGACUUCCCUUCUUCAUGGAGAAAAGAAGGAUAUCUGUGGAAGUAGCACAAGAAGAAUACCUAUGCCAUACGCCCACCCCUCUAUCUGGAUCUACAUCUCCAGCCUUGGACUUCCCUCCCCUAACUAGAGGACAGAUUAAUUCUUUCCAAGUGCUUAGAAGUUUGCGUUUAGAUUUCAUCAAAAAUUUUCCACUGAUUGAUUUACAAAUCAAAUAUUUAACACAAAGAACCUCUGGUCUCAUUAGAAU
rnacentral:lncRNA from 10 species